rnacentral:rRNA from 1 species
UGCCAAGGGCAUGGCUGGGUAGCUAUGUACGGAAUGGAUAAGCGCUGAAAGCAUCUAAGCGCGAAGCCAACUUCAAGAUAAGAUUUCCCACCGCAAGGGUAAGACUCCAGAAAGACUAUCUGGUUGAUAGGUCGAAGGUGUAAGUGCAGCAAUGUAUUUAGCUUAUCGAUACUAAUAGGUCGAGGACUUGACCAAUAUUUAUU